CACAUGUUAAAUCCCCUAGUGAUCCUUUUGGGAAGCUGGAAUCGAAGAUGAAGGCUUUGAAGAACAAGCUGCCAUGAAUCCUGCAGCUACAAGGAAAUGAACUCUAUUAACUUGAGUGAGCUUAAAACUAGAUCCUUCCCCAGUCAAGCCUCCAGGUGAGAAUUCAAUCCUGGCUGGCACCUGGAUUGCAGCUUACAGAAGACCCAGCUAAGGCCAUGUCUGGACUUUAAAUCCACAGGAACUGCAAGAUGGUAUCAGAAGUGGGACCUGCAGUGGGGCAUCUAGCAACCCCCAGGAGCAUUGAGUGACCAGGCUUGGGACCCACCGGGCGCAGGGUGUCCAUUGUUCUCUCGAAGCAACUGAGAAUUGUGGAUAUUCUUCAUUAUUCCAUCAUCAUCUCAAACCUCUUGGGUAUAGUGUUUGACUACUACUGUGACCAUAAAUUCCAAUAAAACCUAGGAAAAAUGAAACCACUACAUUAACUGAAAGGGAAGGAUUUGACAGCUUCUUUUGGGCAUAUCAGAAUCGCCAGCAUCACUACUCUUGCACUGUGCGGCCAUUAUUAAGUGAAAUAAGGAUUACUUGAACACAAGCACUGCAAUGCCGCUACAGUCAAUGUGAUAACCCAGCUGGUGACUAAGUGACCAAGGACGGGGAGUAUCUACAGCGGGGAGACUCUGGAAAAAGGGAGGAUUCACAUCCAGUGCCACUGGGGCAGGGCAGAAUGAGAGUUCAUCAUGCUACAAAGAAUGGCACAGAAUAUACGACUUGUGAGUGGAUUAUCUCUGGAAUUUUCUGUUGACUACAUUUGUACUACAGUUGUAUGUGGGUAACAAACUGUGGAAAGUGAAACUUCGGGUAAGGGGGAGGCUACCGUAGAUAGCCCAGUAUUUCUUAUUUUGUGGAUUUGUUUAUCUUUCUGCUCACAUCCUUUUCCUUCUGCAUUACCAUUUUAGUAAAAAUAGAUAGCAUCCA
rnacentral:lncRNA from 1 species